AGGGUGGAAGAACGGCUCUUAUUUGGGCGGCCAUCGAAGGGAAUGGUAAAAUCGUGGCAGAUUUGUUAGAAAAAGGUGCAAAUGUGGAUGCCAAGGAUAAGGUGAGGGUAGAUAUGUAUGUUCGCUCCAUGUAUAGGGCUUGUUGUAUUGUGUGUUAUCCCACUGUACUUCACCCAACCUAAUAUAUGCAUGUUUGUGCGGAUGUAGUCUAUCCUUUGUCGCUGGGGGACCUGUGCCGCCAGCGAUUAUAGGUUUCGGCUUUUCGCGGAUUGUUAGCAAACAAUUGAUUGUUACUAUAUUGAAGUUAGGCGGUCAAUAGGCGGUUAAAAGAACAUGGUGUAGCGUAACAAGACAGAAAUACUUCGCCGGUAGGUGUCAGGCUUGUAAACAUGCAGUAUUUCGGUAAUUUCACGAUCAAUGUAUUGUGUUUUUAACUGGGAAAUGUUGGGGCCGCAAUAAUGGACCCUUUCAAGAUCUAGACGCCAUAAUGAAACACAAUAGUGCAAAGGGUACAAACACAAUGGAAUUCCCUAUAGGUAAAUUUGCCUGGGGUGUAAAGGCAAUGGUCAAAACAAUAUAUUGAAGUUAGCGUCCUUAACCCAUUAAGCGCCAGUGCUCUCCCUUUGACGAGUAAAAUCGUCUGGCAUUAGACAGAGUAAAGUAAUAAAGUAGAGUGCAUCAGGGCUGAAGUGGUUAACCUUGAAAGAGCCUAUUGGCAACUUCUGUUGUGGUUACCCAGUCUGAGGAAAAGGUAAUCAAUUAUAAAUUGUUAUAAAUGUUCUGCGAAGUGCGCAUAUUUUUCUUGGAGUUAGGGACCGGUAAUUAUUUAUGGAAGAGGGAGGGGGGCAAAAAUAAGGUGGGGCCAUGGGUAUAAAUAGAUGACUAGAGGUGUGGGGGGAGGGUCUAUUCAAUGUUUUCAAGAAAAUUCGUGGGUCGAAAUGUGGAGUUGCAAUAAAUUUGAAUACAUUUGCUUAUGCCUGGUUUCUAGUUUCCUCGAAGUUGGCUUUUAAGCCAGAUAAAUCCUAUAAAUGAUAUAAUUUAUUCUAAUCAAGACGUGUUUUGUGUAAAUAGGGUCUCCUUAAUAGGACAAGGGUGUUUAAUAGAGCCCCUUUGUCUUCCUGGCAAAUGGUAUUUUAAAAUCUCUCAGGACUGCUGUCAUUACAAUAUGACACGUAUUGUAGAAACACACAGAACAUAUUCAUGGAGAGGUAUUUCGCAUGAUUACCAAGCGACUAGCUAAUGACCUGUGUCUACAACCAUUUAUAGCAAUAACGCUUUAGUCAUAUAUACUAAUCUACAUACGAGUGUGCAGUAUAAGGGCGGCGAACUGGAAUAAUAAUAUUUUUUUUAUUUGUGCACGCCUAGUGAUAUUUUUGAUUUCCUGCAAUCUGAUUGGCUGCAGGAGCGGGCAGCUUUUUACGAUAUCUUGACAGUGGUCCAAAAGAGUUCUUUUUUAGCGACAAAGAGAGGAGCGAAGAGAAUUUUUACUCGCUGGCUGGGGCACCUGUGCCCCAGACGAGUAUAGGUUUCGGCUUUCAUCAUGGAUAGUGGAUCUCCAAUCGUCGAUAGGUAAUCCCAAUUAUCCAUAAGGCUCCUGCCAAUUUUACCCAAAUUAUCCAUAAAUAACCCUGCAUUUUGAGGAAAAUUCGGGAAAAUUGAACAAUUUUACAAGGAAUUUCGACAUGGAAACAGCAACCUUCGCCAGUUACGUUUGGCUUUAAUAGUUUGGGUUCGCUGCUUUAUAUUUUGAGAAGAAAGCGACACCGUUCGAUUCAGCGUAAGAAAUUGUACUUACGUAUCUCUAAUGUAUUACAAAUGUAUUUAUAAGCACCAGUAUUCUAGCGAAUUAUGGCCUUUGAAAAUCAGGCGAAAUUGUAUAAUUUGUUGACAAAUCACUCGCAGUACGUUUCAUAGUGUAUUUGAAAUGGCGCAAUAAGGUUAAAAAUACCACCGUUCGAUUCAGCGUUAGAAAUUGUACUAAUUACGGAUGUCAAAUGUACAGUAUUACUAAGCAACAGUAUUCUAACGAUUUAUCGCCUUUGUCUUUGAAAGCCAAGCGAAAUUGUAUUGCUGACAAUCGCUCAAAAUUAUUAAACUAAUUAUAAAAAAAUGCAGUACGUUUGAUCCUUGAUCACUUUGGUAUCAUUGGUUUUCUCUUUUUCGGCCGUAUACCAGUGGAUUCGUCUCACUUCUCUCUUCAUUUUGAUAGUAUUUUGAGCGCAAAAGCCCCCAAAUAUUUUAUUUUGAACAUUUUAAGCAUGGGCAAUCCAGAAGACAUGUCUUGUGGAUUGUCUAUGGUCUAACCAACUGGCGGCUGACAGUCUUGCAGAAAUAGAAUGUAGUGUACUAAACAUAACUUUGCUUGUAGGGCCUAGCGCAUUUUAGUACUGUGUUAAGCCUUUCGCGCCGGUAUUCGACUUUUCCGCUUAGCUCGGGGAAAACCUUAAAUCUUAAUUGAAAUAUCUGCGUACUGUAUGUAUCAUGUGCAGUAAUGUGCGUAUUUGUAUAGCCCUAGACUCGGGUUCAAAUCCGUCUCUCAAGGGGUUGAAAAUAGCGAUGCAUGCGAGCUGUCAAAAAAUCUAAAAAAGGUGCGAAAAUGUGAGAGAAAAGUAGGGACUGCAAAAUCCGUCGGAUUUUUCCUACGGAGGCUUGCGAGUUGAGAACAACAACAAAUUUUCGCGCCAAUUUUUGCAAGUGACAUUCGAAAUGCUGCAAAUGUCCCAAGGAUAAACGAAGCCUUUAUUAGUGUCACAAAAGAUUAUACCCCUUUAACAGACGAUGCCCAUGUAACCCAAGAGGAAGAUGACCCUAUACAAGUUAGCCUGACAUCUGUUCAGCAGAAGUUACGCAAAAUAAGUAUAUCCAGAGCAAAUGGUCCAGACAAACCUCCAAUUUGGGUAUUAAAAAUAUAUGCUGAUAUCUUAGCUCCAGCCAUUACAGACAUUUUGAAUUGUUCAUUUCGUAACUGUGCGGUUCCAGAGGCAUGGAAGAUGGCUGACGUAUCACCCAUCCCUAAAACAUCGAGCAUAACUGAUUUCAACAAAGACCUGAGACCAAUAUCAUUGACGUCUGCACUAUCGAAAAUCGCGAAAGGGUUUGUAAUCGACCACGAACUGAAACCUAAGAUUUUACAGAAAAUAGAUCCCCACCAAUUUGGCUUCAUUCCUAAAUCAUGUACAACUCAUGCAAUUAUCUCAAUGCUACAUAACUGGUUGGCCGCAACAGAUGCAACAGGUUCUACGGUGAAAGUUGCCUUAUUAGACUUUAGGAAAGCUUUUGACUUGGUGGACCAUAACCUUCUUAUAUCAAAACUUAUUAACUACGGAAUUAAGCCAUCAGUCACCAAUUGGAUUACAGACUUCUUAUAUAAGCAUACCCAAAGAAUUAAGUUGAAUUAUAAGUGUCAUUCCAAUAUACUGCAAGUCCAGGCAGGGGUACCUCAAGGGACCAAAUUAGCACCAUGGUUGUUCCUCAUUAUGAUAAACGAUUUGAACGUUUCAGAGAAUUCAACAAACAAGAUAUGGAAAUUCGCAGAUGACUCCACAAUUUCGGAGGUCAUCCCUAGAACUGAAAAUAGUAAUUUACAAGAUAUAGUUGAUCAAGUGGCUAAUUGGUCAAAUAAUAACAAAUUUCAAUUAAAUUCUGGAAAAUACAAAGAACUUAGAAUAAAUUUUACUAAACACCCUUGCAGAGACGAACCAGUCAAAGUAAAUGAUAAACAUUUUGAAGUGGUAACAUCCGCAAAAAUCUUAGGAAUGACCAUUACCGAUGAUUUAAAAUGGAAUGUCCAUGUGGCAAAUAUUUUAUUAAAAGCUUCCAAACGACUUUAUCUCCUGAAACAGUUAAAACGUGCGAAAGUCGAUACUAAUUCAUUGAUCAAAUUCUACUGCGCCUGUAUCAGAUCUGUCCUCGAAUACGCUUGUCAGGCCUUUCACUCAGGCCUUCCUAAUUAUCUUUCAAAAGAAAUUGAACAAAUUCAGAAAAGAGCCCUAAGAAUUAUUUACCCUUACGUGGAUUAUAGUGAAGCGUUGGAAUUGGGAAACCUAGAAAGACUAAACGACCGUAGAGAGAAACUAUGUGAAAAACUGUUUCGUGAUAUUGAAGAAAAUGAAGAUCACAAACUUCACGGACUUUUACCAGAAAUGAAUAAGGCUGGUUAUAACUUCAGAACAAUUAAGAAAUAUAAUCUCCCAACGAUUAGGACAAAUAGAUUUAAGGACUCUUUUAUCCUUUAGUCUAGGACCUGUAUAUGAGGUUGUAUGCGAUUCAUUUAGGACAGGUAAUCUCAACUGUUUUAGGGUAAAAUGACCAUGGCGGUCAACAUGGCAUAUGUGCGAAAUCCUGAAUCCGGGACGAAAGUCCUGAAAAUGACCCCGCCCUGAAACGGCAGUGUCGACAUAGCUCUAACUUCCAAAAAGGAAAAGCGAUAGCCUUUCUGAAGUGCUUAUAGUGUUUAGAAGGGUUGUUUUUAGGGGUGGUCAUUGGAAGGAAAAAUUUGUCUGAGUAUAAUAUUUUACCAGAAAAUGCUAUGCACCACCCCAGGUAAAUUGCUGAUUAUGCACAAAAUAACUAAUAUGCCUGGCAGAAAUUAAAUAUUCUUAUUUCCUAAUAAAAUUAUUAUGGGGUGAAAAACUAUGCUUAAUUUAAUAUAAAUAUUGUUGAUUUCAUGAGGAUUGUCAUUGUUUUCUUUAAAUACAAUACAUUUUAUUUCACUUACCCCCCACGAAAACACGAUUUCAGCCAUAUUUUGCCGUCUUGUUUGCUUUUUAUCGCCGAAUCUCGCAAAUAUCAUCCAGUUAUUGUACUUUUACGUAAUUAUAAAUGGCUGAAGAAGAUUUCAAAGAAGGUUUCAUCUACUUUUGUAACAGUGCAGUGUAUUUUAUCUUCGAUAUUGUGUCCUUCGAUAUUUCGUCAAAUUGCCGCCAUUUUAAUGGCUCGCCGCUUCUCUGCCCGAUAAAUGCCACUUCUUCGUUUUCAUAUGUAUUUAGAUUACAUUAUCCAAGAGUACUUCCUUGUAGAAUAGUACUAAUCCAAAAAUUGAAAAUAUUAUUGGUACUUGGGAGGAAAAAACCUCCCAUAAUAGUUGUCCUGUUUGAAUUCAAAAGAAAUAAUUUAAAAGUCACGCGCAAGUUCGCGAAAACACCUCGUGGGUUACAUAACAGGGGGGAGUGAAUAUUUUCACGAAACGUUUGUUCGCCACCACAGGCCACAGCAACCUAACUAAGUACAUUAUAUUUAUUGUAUAUUUGUGAUUUAUGAUAAAAGCAAUAAAUAUUUGCGUAUCAAUUAUAAAAAUACAAAAAAUAUAAUACAUUUAGUUAGGUUGCUGUGGUGGCGAACAAACGUUUCGUGAAAAUAUUCACCCCCUGUCAUCUAGUACACGAGGUGUUUUCGCGAACUUGCGCGUGACUUUCAAAUUAUUUCUUUUGAAUUGAAACAGGACAACUAUUAUGGGAGGUUUUUUCCUCCCAAGUACCAAUAAUAUUUUCAAUUUUUGGAUUGGUACUGUUCUACAAGGAAGUACUCUUGGAUAAUGUAAUCUAAAUACAUAUGAAAACGAAGAAGUGGCAUUUAUCGGGCAGAGAAGCGGCGAGCCAUUAAAACUGUUACAAAAGUGGAUGAAACCUUCUUUGAAAUCUUCUUCAGCCAUUUAUAAUUAUGUAAAAAUACAAUAACUGGAUGAUAUUUGCGAGAUUCGGCGAUAAAAAGCAAACAAGACGGCAAAAUAUGGCUGAAAUCGUGUUUUCGUGGGGGGCAAGUGAAAAUAAAAUGUAUUAUAUUUAAAGAAAACAAUGACAAUCCUUAUGAAAUCAACAAUAUUUAUAUUAAAUUAAGCAUAGUUUUUCACCCCAUGAUAAUUUUUUUUAGGAAAUAAGAAUAUUUAAUUUCUGCCAGGCAUAUUAGUUAUUUUGUGCAUAAUCAGCAAUUUACCUGGGGUGGUGCAUUGUCAUUUUCUGGUAAAAUAUUAUACUCAGACAAAUUUUUCCUUUCAAUGAUCACCCCUAAAAGCAACCCUUCUAAACACUAUAAGCACUUCAGAAAGGCUAUCGCUUUUCCUUUUUGGAAGUUAGAGCUAUGUCGACACUGCCGUUUCAGGGCGGGGUCAUUUUCAGGACUUUCGUCCCGGAUUCAGGGUUUCGCACAUAUGCCAUGUUGACCGCCAUGGUCAUUUUACCCCUAAAUGAAUCGCAUACAAACUCAUAUAGGUCCUAGACUACUUGUGUACGCAUCACGAAAGGAAAUAAAAACGAACUUAUUUUAAAUAUUUGAAUGUAUAUAUAUAUAUAACAAUUUUUUUAAACAUUAGUACUAUGUAUUUAUAAAUCUUAAGGCCUGUUUAAACGGAUCCAACAUUGUUGGACCAACAUCAUCCAACAAUGUUACUAUACUAGAUAUGACUGCUUCUCUUUCAAAUCUUUUUGGUUAGAUAAGCUUUACUCAAACUCUAAACCUAGUCUUGACAAAAAUAUUUGAAAAAGAAGCCGUUUGAGCCAUUAUUUCAACAAUGUUGGAUGAUGUUGGUCCAACAAUGUUGGAUCCGUUUAAACAGGGCUUUAUAACAACCAAUUGUAAUUCAGUCAUUGGACUGCAAUAAUUGAUUUAAUAAACGAUUCAUCUAUCUAUCUCGUCUCUCCCUACUUUUCGCCUGAUAUGAGACGGACUUCAACCAAGUCUAGUAUAGCCCCAGCGAGUUAACGCUCCGUAGAGUGUCUUGUCGAACUAAAAACACUACCAAAAAAGUUUAAAAAUCGAGAAUUUAGUUCAGCGCCCGAUAUCUCCGCCGCGCGAUACAAACUUUAAAUAUAUAAAAUAAUGUACAAAUUAUCCACUUCCUUGCUCGACAGCAUAACAGUGAAACGUCGUGAUAACUUUUAGGCGAGACUUUUUUAUUUAUUGGUUUACGGAUUUGACUUUAAAAAUAAGAUGUCGGUAGGUCGGAAAAAAAUUUAAAAAAAACCCGAACUGAGUAUAAAUGAGAACCGAAAUUAAUAAUCUUUAUAAAUUUUUUUAACGUCAAUUUUAAAAAAAAAAACGCAAAAAACGUAGCUAAUCUACAUAUUGAUUGUCACAACGAUAACAUGAGCCAGCAGUACCUAGAGUCAAAGUUCACUUGAAGUGUACUUCAUGUCAGAACCCCAAAUUAAUUAAAAUUAAAUAAAAUUGUAAAAUUUUUUACUUCCAAUUUUUAUUUUUUUUUCACUUUCUGAAUAUUUACGGUUGGCGGAUCCGUAAACCAAUGAAUAAAAAAAGUCUCGCCUUAGUGAAUUCUUAAUAUAUUUCUUUCAAAAACCCCAAAAGAAAAGACACGACUGGACCGAAUAGUCAAUAGCGAACUUUUGCACGCUAUUCCAUGGUCGCCAUUUUGAUUUUUAUUUCGUAAAAAUUGCGUAAUUAAAAUGACGUAAUUUGUCAUUUUGUGGCCUACCAAAGGGCAAACUAGAGUCAGUGGGCACCACAGGUAGGCACCACCGACUAAUAAACAUUGUCUAUGCCGUGAAAAUCAAAGCUGAAGUUUAUGUAAAUUAGGACAAAUCUUUAUCCGAUUUACAAACAUUGAUUAAACAUUCAUUUCUUUUGUAUUUUUCAUGAAUUAUUAAUGCGUUUUUUAAAAUAAUAAUCUUGCAUUACUCAUACCUCGUCUAGAAUCUAAAUUUUCCCGUUCAAGAGCCCGAACAACGUCAGCGGACCUGAUCUCAAAGCUAGCACCAGCUAUUAUUCUAGCUGCCCGAUUUGGAAACUUUUGUAACUUUUCCUUCAGUGUUUUGUUACAAAUAUCCCAAAGUGGAGAGAUGCAGUAAUCUAAAUAAGGUUGUAUCAAAGCGCUAUAAAUUGAUAGCAAUAUGUUUGCAGGAAUGUAGAGCUUGAUGCAUUUUAACACUCCUACACCUGCCCCAACUUUUUUUGCAAAUCGUUUCAAUGUGUUCGUCCCAACUUAGUGUUUCAUCAGGCCAUAUAAAAUAAAUUCCUUGAUUCUCAUCACCGCCCGACGAUAUUUUGGUUUCCGCGUUUAUAUAUUUUUGUAUUUUGUUAUAAAAUAUAAAUUUACCGCCCGACCGAGCAUCUUCAGAGAUUUAGUUAUUUUUAUAUUUUAUAUUGGAAUUUUUGCGAUAUAAAAUUGUUUUACGUUAAUAUUGCAACAUGUUAAGGGAUGCUUGGAAUACUGAAGGAAAAAAUGGGCUUAUAGCCUUAUUACAACGAUUUGUGUGGACCCUUAUGCAUGUUCAUUAGCGCAUGUGCAAUUAUCCACUUAUAUAGCGUUCUUCUAUAAUAUAUUUAAGGGCAAAUAUAAAAAGACCUCCCUCUCCAAUUUUUUAAAUUUUAAACUUUUUUUUAUAUUUUGACAAAAUAUAAAAUAUAAACCUCCCGCCUCCUAGGAGUUUUUAAAAUUUAGCGAUGAGAAUCAAGGAAUUUAUUUUAUAUGGCCUCAAGUGUAACGCUCAAACAAGAGAUUGAAUGUAUUCUGGGAAUCGGUUGGCCAUUUAACAUUACAGGAAUAUUGUGACCUGCUUGUCACUGCAAAAUUACAGUUGAAAUAAGGCUUAUCAAGGCUUUUCAUCUUUGUAAUUUUUUUUAUAGGGUGCAAGAACGGCUCUUAUUUCGGCGGCCAUGUAUGGAAAUGUUGAAGUCGUGGCACAUUUAUUGGAAAAAGGUGCACAUGUGGAUGCCAGGGAUGAGGUAAGGAUAGAUAUGUAUGUUGGCUCCAUGUAUAGAUUUGCUCUAUUGCGUGUCAUCCAACUAUAUUUCACCCAACCUAAUGUAGAUAGGACAAUAGUAUAGAUACUGUAUAUGUAUGUUUGUGCAGAUAUAGUCUAUCAUUUGUCCCUGAGGAACCCUGUACAUGUGCCGGCUUUUCGCGGAUUGUUGCAAAAGAACAUGGUGUAGCCUAAUAAGACAGAAAUACAACCACAGCGAUCAUCAUUCAUCGCUACUUGUGUGGAACUUGAACUUCGCCGGUGGAUGUCAGCAGGGACGCCGGAACUGGGGGGGCAGGGGGGGCGGCUGCCCCCCUUGCCUUUUGCUAGGGGGGGCAGGGGGGGGCAGAAGUGCCCUUUUAGUUGUAAAAUAAUACGUGAUAAAUCACAUUUCCAACGACGCUUUUUGUAGGAAAAUCACGAGAUUCAGGCAAUUUAUAGUUUAUAUUUAUAAAAAUUUUGGGAAAUUUUUGGAAUUUAGAAAAAUAUUUUGAAGAAAUGGCGAAAAUUUAAGAUAUCCGGAAAAAUUUUUGGCUUCACGGAAAAUUUUUGUAUGUCCGGAAAAUAUUUUUGACCCCUAAAAUGAUACACUGACCGAAAUUUUUUUGGCGACCGGGGGGGGGGAGACGUCGCCAAAAAUUUUGCAGUGAAAAAAUAUUUUUCAGUAAAGGUGCCCUUUGUGUGCGUCCGCCCCCCUUUGCCCUAUUAUCGUUCCGGCGUCCCUGGAUGUCAGACUUGUAAACAUGCAGUAUUUCGGUAAUUUCACGAUCAAUAUAUUGUGUUUUUAACUGGGAAAUGUUGGGGCCGCUGUAACAGACCCUUUCAAGAUCAAGACGCCAUAAUGAAACACAAUAGUGCAAGGGGUGGAAACACAAUGGAAUUCCCUGUAGGUAAAUUUGCCUGGGGUGUAAAGGCAAUGGUGAAAACAAGAUAUUGAAGAUAGUGUUCUUAACCGAUUAAGUGCCAGUGCUCUCCCCUUGACGAGUAAAAUCGUCUGGCGUUAGACAGAGUAAAGUAAUAAAUUAGUGUGCAUCAGGGCGCAAUGCGCAACAGAACGGUUUAACCUUGAAAGAGCCUAUUGACAACUUCUGUUGUGGUUACCCAGUCUGAGGCCAAGGUAUAUAAUCAAUUAUAAAUUGUUAUAAAUAUUCUGCGAAGUGCGCAUAUUUUUCUUAGAGUUAGGGACCGGUAAUUAUUUAUGGAAGAGGGAGGGGGCAAAAAUAUGGCAGGGCCAUUGGUAUAAAUAGAUGACUAGAGGGAGGUGGUCUAUUAACUUUUUUUCAAGAAAAUUCGUGAGUCAAAAUGUGGAGUGGCAAUAAAUUUGAAUGCAUUUGCUUAAGCCUGGUUUCCGUUUUCCUCGAAGUUGGCCGUUUUAAGCCAGAUUAAUCCUACAAAUAGAUAGAUAGAUAGAGUAAAUUUUUAUUCAGGAUAAACACUUCAGAAAAUAUACAUCUGUUAUCAAUGUGUGUCCUGACUAAAUACUAAAUAUAUUAAAUAACUAAACUAUAAUACUAUAUAUUAUGACAUUGAAAAUUUCUAAUAGAGAAAACCCUUAACCAUGUUAACAAAGCUGUUAAAGUUGGAUACCUUUCUAAUGUCAGUUUGAAGAUCAUUAUAGGUUUUUGCACCCAUAUAAUAAAAAGAAUUUCUGGCAUAUUCGGUAUGUAUCUUAGGUCAUAGAAUCAGACAAGAUGCAUUUCUUGUGCCCAUGCCGUGAGAAUUUAUCUUGAAAUAACUAGCAAAAUUAUUGGGUACAAAUGAUAUAAUUUAUUCUAAUCAAGACGUGUUUUGUGUAAAUAGGGUCUCCUUAAUUAGACAAGAGUGUUUAAUAGAGUUGUUUACAUUAAUGUUGCUAUGCACUUUAGAUAUUCAUGCUUAGUUAUUGUGCUACAGGAGUUCACGCAAUAAAGUAUAACUCUGAACUUUACUCGAGUUGAUUAUACGUAUCUAUAUCGCUGAAAACUGUGGUAGGUAGCGCAGCAAGACUUCAUGUUAGCGCUACCAACUUAAUAGUGCGUGAAUCAACGAUUUACUUUAUCUGUGUAUACUUUAUUGAAAUAAACAUACAGGCUUUAUUUUAAUAGCCCCAGCGACUAAACGCUCAACAGAGCUUCUUGUUACAUCUGUGCCACCGGUAUUGCGUCCAACAUGACUGAUGUAUGUACAUAAUAGAAUUCUAUUAAUACGGUCAAGAAUUUAGGGUCAUAAAAAUUUACCCGUGAAAACGAGGUGAUGGUAUUAACACAGGCGUGGCCAUAUCAUGGUGUGUGGGACAUUUGGAUGCAUGUGUCAUAUUAACGUCAUGCGCGCACUUGCAAAACGGUAAAAAACUAUGCCUGAAGAGACCAGAUUAACACAACCAUAACUGUGUAUUGGUGGUUCAUGGGGAUCGAGGUUGCCAAUAUAUUUCAACCCUUUUGUUGCCAUAUGUAAAUUUAGCAAAUAAUAUGUAUACUUUAAUAUUGGGAAUGGUUCACAAUAUAUUUUGACUAUACUUUACUUAACUGUCAACUUAUUGGAAUUUCGAACGUCUUCGAGCAGUUAAAUAUUACUGUUAUCUCUUUGAAAGUACAAUACAACAACUCGAGAGUUAUUCGCGAUCUCUCUUUGCGCAACAGUUACGACAAUCGCUGCAAGUAUAUGAGCAACAGCUGGACACCGAAAAUCUCGGGGAGGAGGGGUGUGUUUUUAAUAGGCGGUAUAUAGGUAGGUUUCACUAAUCGCUGUUGUGUGGACAAUCGGCAGUUAUCAGGGUGAAGAAAUAAUGUUAAUUGAAUUGAAUACAAUUGAGAGAUUUACCACUAUAGUUAAAUUUUUCAUUGUCCAAUAUAUAAAUGUUAACCUUUCUGAAGUUGAACACCAUCUGCUGACCUAUUACACUUAUGGGUACAUUGACUACAUUGAUGUGUUGUUGUUUCUAAAUCGAGUCAUUGCCAUAGAAUUGGCAAAAUAUUGAAGGUACGAGUUUCGAGGGUGCGUGCCAGUUGACUUAUUUUAAUCUGCUUGUCACUGCAAAAUUGCAGUUGAAAUAAAGCCUAUUAAAGCUUUUCAUAGUUGUACAAUUUUUUUGUAGUGGGAAAGAACGGCUCUUCAUUGGGCAGCUGCCAAUGGAUUUGCUGGCACCAUGACGUAUUUGUUGAAAUAUCUAGCACACGUGAAAGCGAGUAAGGUGAGGAUAGAUAUGUAUGUAUGUUGGCCCCUUGUAUAGACUUGCUCUAUGUGUGUCAUCCCACUGAAUGGCC